UCUUACAAAGAUCAUUUAGAGGUUUAUUUUGAACAACUGACAAUUCCAGGAAUGAUGGAAUAAAACAUAUGAAGUAGAAGAACUGGAACCUCCAGAAAAAAUACUUCAAGUUACCUACAAGUGAUCUUAGUCAGGCAAAUGAAAACAGUAGCCUAAAGUGCUGGUUUCAACCAGAAAGUAACAGCUAUGAUUUCUCAUGGCUCACACUCUUCUGAAACGACUCAGGAAGAGGCUGAGAAAGGCCAUGUUGUUUGUCUACCUGGGACUACAUCUACUGAAAGAAGUUCUCAAGUUCUGAUUGAGUUCUAAAAGUUUUUUGAAGAUUGGAAUUCUUCAUAUGUAAAAAGAGAAAGACAUUCUUGAUUUUGGUGACUAGAGUUGUAGAUGCUGGGAAGCUUUGUCACUAAAAUUGAUGAACCAGAUGCACGUCACCAGCCAAUCGCGCUGAUUCUUAAUGCUGGCACCAUGGCCUGGCAUCCGUCACGUUUUCCAAGGAACCUGUCGGAGCUCCGGCGGAAGCUGCUCCUUGGGCCGAUGGAGGCUCUUAGCUGGUAGGCCCUUCUUUAGUCACCACAGGAUGCCUGCCAUUCAUGAACAGAAAGGAGAGGACGGGCUUUGAAUAAAACACAGGAUCUGGAAAAUAUUUGUGAGGCCAUUGGACUUCAGAUUUCAGUGUCAGGUGGUGUUGAAAGUUGAAGUCGUUUCUUCAAGAAGUAAACCUCUGCCACUUGGACUGUGCUCAGACAUUUCAUUGAUUUUGUUUAAUCAACAUUUUCUGGCUU